rnacentral:rRNA from 1 species
CCCUUAGAUGUUCUGGGCCGCACGCGUGCUACACUGAGUGGAUCAGCGGGUCAGGUUGCGCGAAAGCGUUUCCUAAUCUUUAAAUCCGCUCGUGAUGGGGAUUGACGGUUGCAAUUUUCUGUCGUGAACGAGGAAUACCUUGUAAGCGCGGGUCAUCAUCCCGCGCUGAAUACGUCCCUGCCCUUUGUACACACCGCCCGUCGCUCCUACCGAUUGAGUGGUCCGGUGAGGCUUUGGGAUCUGAGCGGAAAGAGCGUUUCGCUGUUUCUGCUCGGAAAACUCAGUCGAACCUUAUCAUUUAGAGGAAGGAGAAGUCGUAACA